rnacentral:SRP_RNA from 1 species
GCCAGGCAUGGUGGCACGUGCCUGUAGUCCCAGCUACUCAGGAGGCUGAGGUGGGAGGAUCACUUGAGCCCAGGAGUUCUGGGUUGCAGUGCGCUAUGGCGAUCGGGUGUCCGCACUAAGUUCGGCAUCAAUAUGGUGACCUCCUGGGAGCGGGGGACCACCAGGUUGCCUAAGGAGGGGUGAACUGGCCCAGGUCGGAAACAGAGUAGGUCAAAACUCCCGUGCUGAUCAGUAGUGGGAUCGCGCCUGUGAAUAGCCACUGCACUCCAGCCUGGGCAACAUAGGAGAUCCCAUCUCA